rfam:Myotis davidii contig27173, whole genome shotgun sequence.
GGUGGUUCUUAGGUGACACACCCUGAAAUCAGGCUCCCUCCUGUCUGGUUCUUGUUGUGUCACCUGGGAACCGCA